UCGGCGUGGCAGCUGGCGCGCCUUGGGUCGGGUGCGGGCCGGUUUCCGUUGUCUUUCAGUUCCCGCAAGCAGAAGGCCCCAGCGAGAGCACCGCAGUACUGUGUGGGAGCCUGGCUUCGCUCGGCGUUUCCUUAGUCCUCUAGCUGCUAGUGCUGGGCAGCCCCAGCUCCCUGCAGGGCCUGCUGCAGUCUCAUGAUGCCUUGUGUGUUUGAUGCCAGCCUUCCUAAUGCAACUGGGUGCAAACAGAACUGUGGCGGUGAAGGGCUGCUGGCUGCUUCGUGCCCUGUGCAGGGAUGGAAUCAGAAUCAUUAAGGUUGGAAAAGACCUCUGAGACCAUCUAGUCCAACCAUUAACCUGCCACCACCAUGCCUGCUCAGCCAUGUCCACCUGUGCCACAUCUCUGCAUUUCUUGAAUACCUCCCUGAGUAGCCUAUUCCAGCAAUUUGUCACUCCUUCUGAGAAUAAUUUUUUUCUAAUACCCAACCUGAACCAACCCUGGUGCAACUUCAAGCCAUUUCCUCUCAUUCUACUGCUGUUACCUGGGAGAAGAGGCCAACCCCUACCUCACCACAACCUUUCAGGGACUUGUAGAGAACAAUAAAGUCUCCCCUGAUUCUCCUCUAGACUGAACAAUCCCAGCUCCUUCAUCUGCCCCCAUUUAAGAAUUGUGCUUCAGAUCAUCCACUGGUUUCAUUGCUCUUCACUGGCUGUGCCCCAGGGCCUUGAUGUCUUUCUUGUAGUGAGGGGCCCAAAACUGAACACAGUACUUGAGUAUCAAGUACUUCUUUGCCACCUGCACACACUGCUGGCUGAUGUUCACCUGGCUGUUAGCUAACAUCCUCAGAUCCUUUUACUCUGCGGUACUCUGCAGCAAGAGAAAAGCUGAGUGGGUUCUGUAGCUAGACUUCAACCAAGGAGAAAUCUAGUCCAUGGCUUUUCAUCUGAUAUAAAGUGCAUUAUCUCCCUUGUUUGUAUAAAGGGAGAAUGUAUGCCAGUAUCCUCUGUUUUUUUCAAAGUCUCUGCCUGAGUUCUGGACAAAAGGAAUGUGUUUGAGGCCCAGCCCUGGUCCUUGUAGACAGAGAGCGCACAUGGCUUUCUGACCCACAGCACUGAAAAACUGAGAGGCUCUUUCAGUUCAGCGGAUAGGAGGAAAGACACAAAGCCCUGCUAAGAAUUUUACGGAAGUUUCUCAGCAUUUUGAAACUCACAGAGGGAUUUGCGGUCUCAUUACAAUUGAGUUUUCCGGUGGCAUUUAGCUCAAUUAUGUCACCUUUCACAUCUUAAGAAGACAAUGUUCAAAAAGAGGGGCUGGCAAAGAGCUCAGGAAGGCCGAGGUCAUGCAAUGACUGAUGUCUGUGUCUGAUCCUCAGAGGAGCAAAGCACGGCAGAGGAGUGGUGGGCAGAUGUCCUAGCCAAAAGCUUAUAUGAAACAUUCACAUUAGAAAGAUUCCUUCCAUGUGUUUUGGAGAGUCAACGGGAGCUCAGAAGGUCUGAGCAGGCAGAUGUGAGGCCAUGGGGUAGAGUGACAGCUGACAUGGCAAAGCCAGCCUGCUGCUAGAGGUUUUGUCCCUCCCAUGGUUGGAGCUGUCUCACCUCAUAGCCUUCAUGCCGGCACAGGGCACGGCCUUCCUUGUGGCACACAGGAUUCAACUCAAAAUGCUUAUGAUCCUUGUGAGGAUGCAAACACGCCUGUGGAUCAAUUAACAUGCCACAGGCAUGGUAUCAUGGCCGUUUAGCAGUGAGGCAGGAGAGGACAAUAAACUGAGAGAUUGUGUAUGUGUUUUUGUACUAACAGCACCAUUAUAUUCGAUAAGAAGGUCUCCUUCUUUGUCCUCUGGUGAGUGUAUGGCCUGCUCCUGAAGCAUAAACACAAGUAAAUCAUUAAAGCAUAAAUCAUGCUCAGUGCGCCAGUGUUACCUGUAACUGCACCCAUGUGAAUGUUUUGUGAUCAUUUUUCAAGGUUGUGGGGAAAAGUACAAACUCGUUUGUUUUCCAAAGAAAGUAGACUGUAAGCUCUGCUCUAGGUAGGUACCAUCUAACCUCUGCUCUAAGUAGGUACUAUCUAACCACCUCCAGUUCUUGCGGGAGAUCAUGAGGCUUUGAAUCAGUGGCUGGUCCAUAGGACCACUUUGAACCAAAGGCAUGAUGGGGAACAUUGAGUCCAACCAACUUGACUGAAGUUAGGCUGAAGUAGAAACUCCAAGGUGGAGGUAAGGUUUCUAGUGCUAGCUGCCUUUCUUCACUUGCUCGUGUCAGCUGAACUGAACUGCCAGCCAGGUUAGACACAGCCUGUGUUUAUGCUUAUGUGCCAGGCUACAGAUGACCUGUAUAGUAGGGCCCUUUCUUUGAAGGAAGUCUCAUGGCUUUUGAAGACAAGAGUAGAUGUAUCAAAGCAUUAAAUCAAUAUUUGAUUCUCUCUCCUGAGAUUGCAUUUGUUUUUAGAUGACUGUAUCGCCAGAAAUGUAUUCCUAUCAGGAAUAUCAGGAAUACAAUUCCUAUUUCUGAUAGGACUAGGUUUUACUGUGAGGUCAUAUUCCUCAUUGUCAUAGGUCUGAGAAAAACUUAAAACUGAAACUGCAGAAUAACAUUGUUCAGAACUCACUACUUUUACAUAUUUUCUAGUUAAAGUUACUGUUUUAUUUUUGUUCAGAGGGAUUUUUUUUAGGGGAAAGAUACCUUUAGUGCUUUCCCUAAAUCAGAAAAGAAGUGGCAGAGAAGCCUCCAAACUGCUUGUAAAUGCGUGAUUUUAACUCGCCAUCUGGAGUUUUCAGGUGAGCUGAUGUUUGAGAACUGCCUCUUCUCAUGUCCAGCAAAAACAAACCACCACAAAAUUAAAACUUCCUAAGUCAAAACAUUUCAGCAUUGCACACGUGCCUCACAGUACUAAUUAUAAAGCAUCCAUAGUGAUUAGCUAUUUUGUCACAAAAUUAUGCUCAGGGCUGGAAAUUCUGAGACACCUGAGCACUUUAAUGGAGUGUGACUGAAGUAGGUCCAUUUGGGAAUUUAUUUUGUGUUCAUAAGGUAGUUGAUACUUCUUCGCACCAGUAGAUAGUGGAUCAGAUCCCUUAAAUCUGCUAUUAGUUUUUAUCUGAUUAGGUCACUUGAGAGCACUGAUUAACUUUUUAUCUUCCUACUGCCUAAAGAAAUAAAAUAGUGUAAUAAUGGUGUCCAUUUAGCUCAUAACCUGUACUGAGGUGUCCUGGGAAAAUGUUCACAAAACUGAUUCUUUCUGAGUUCUAGAUAUUAAAAGUAUUAAACAUUUUUAAUAAACAGUUGGGCUAUUUUUUAGGUUUGUCUGUCUGUCUUCUCAUUCAUCUCUUCUGUUUAUGGAAUGAAUGUGGUUCUUGUGUGCUUCUUUUCCAGUCCAGAUCAUAUUUACGGUCAUAAAACAUAAACCCUCGGAUUCAUUACAGAAACAAAAUUGUAUUUGGAACCUAAGAACAAGAACAGUUUCUUACAUCUUGAAGUCAGUAGUUUGCUCAGCUGAUGAGCUGAGGAAAUAGGUCAUUUUAGCUGUCUUGGGCAAAAAGCAGUGAUUACUAAUCGUUUCCUUUCUAGCAUGUUUUCUGUUACACUACAUUACUUACUCAUAUACCAAACACUGUCUGUUUGUUUAAUGGAAUAAUAAGACACAGAGAGGACAGCAGGAAAUAAUUAGACACAAUAUCUCUACUUUUGAUAGAAGAAUAAUCUAGUCCAGGAAUAUCUUGAAGCAGGGCAGUCUAUGGAGAUGGAAGUCCAUAUGGAUCAUAUAUGAUCCUGUAAUGUAUAUUAUGUUGUGUACUAUAACCCUCUGCAGAGGAUUGUAAUAUGAAUGAUGAAAUGUAUCAUUAGAAAAUUUCCUUGUGCCUGGUAGUAAUAUGUGCCUUUAGCAAUAUGUGCCUUUAACUUCUGUUUAUAUAACAGGGUCAAAGUCUGCAGUUGUCUCCGUAGCAGAUUGUAUGAGGACAAUGCACUUUAGCUUCACUCAUGCUGCCAGAAAUGCAAUGUGCAGUCCAAUGAUUGAGAAGCAUUCAACAUAGAAGAAAUUCAAACUGGUGGUUAACAAAAUUUGUGAGCCCACUGCUCCAUGAAGGAGAGACAAAGUUGGUGUCCCAGCCUACAGAAUGGCCAAUGAUUCUGAUCUCUGAAUGGCCUUGGGCCGGAAGAGAGUAGAUGGCAACUGUCCUUUACUGCCCGUUAUCUGAGAAUUUGGAAGGAUAUCCCUAUGGUCAUCUUCUGCUUCUAUCCUCAGUUAUUCUUCACCUUGCAACAUCUGCUUGCAGUCAGAAGUUUAAUUUUUAAUGGAAUCUGGUGCAUAUUUCAAGCUCUUUCUUCAACAGUAGUUAAAACAAUAAGAUUUUAAUUUCAAAAGGUUGUCAAACUAUGACUGUGUAAAUUCUCAGGAUUUAUAUUUAUUUACAGAAUCUUUAAGGUUAUAUUCAGAUUCAUAUUUAAUAUUGAGCAAUAAAUGUGAAAAUCAUCUACUCACUUUUUUAGUGGACUGGCCAGGCCCAAAGACUGAUUUUAAGGAAUCUCCAUGACCCGGCUGAAGAACAAUGCAGCCUUUCUUUCCUCAAACUCCAGUUCUGCAGAAUGGAAAGAAAUAUGCCUGGCCUCUUCUUUUUCUGCAGGGCCAAGGAAACACAUAUAUACAAAACCUUUUCUUCUUACAUGCGAACUAGGUCUAUAUAACUGCAGUUACUGUGAGCUCGUUCUUCUUCUGAAGAGGCUUCAUCUCAUGGGGUUGGUAGAACUCACCUUGUCUUAUUGGAACCAUGUUCUUGGGCUGUGUGCCUGGCUGUACCUUCUAGGCUAUUGCAGUUCAUAACCAGAAAGAAUACAGAAAUGCUGUGAGAAAAGGCUGUAUAUAUAACAUUCUAUUGCAUAAAGAGAUAGAGCUGAAAGAAAAGAUCAGAAAAAAGCCAAAGGAAUUAGGGUUGCCAGGCAGACAAAUGUCCAACUAAUCAAAUUCUAAUUAACUACAAGCUCAGUGUGAAGAAUAAAAAUGAUCUUUCCUGUUGUCCUGUGUCCCCUCCCUAAGGCCAGUCUGCCUGGCCUCAGCUGGCUUGUCAAGUUAGAUGAUAAAGAUGAUGGUCCUGCAGGAAGCCCAUGUCUUUCUUUUUUGGCUGACAUAAGUGCACUGGGAGCUCCAGGCAGAUGUUUCCCAGCUCAUGAUGUGGGAGAAUCUUCCUAUUAAUACUUAGAAGACCAAGAUAAAAAGAAUGGCAAUUUUCAGUGGCACAGGAGAUCUGGGUCAGUCAGAAGUGCCUAACUCAUUUUGCAGGUAAGUAUCACAAUGCUGUCCUGCGUCACCUGCAGCAGGAGACCAGCACAGAAAGUGCCUUCUACCACAGGACAUCAAGGAAUUUUUGUUCUGCACACCUUGUCUACAGUCUGGCGUGUUUUCCACAAUUCACUGAGACUUGCAACCUAGGGUAAUCCCAGCUGCAUGUAUGAUGUGUGAUCUGGAGUUAAAAAAAAAAAAACCUUAUUUUUAUUUGGGGUUGUGUUCUGAGUCCAAAACUGUAUCUUCUUCUGAAAUGACACCAGGCACAUGACUCUGCAGCAUUUCCAAAAUGAGGGAACUGGUAGGUGCAGCUGGUCUUAAGCUGGAGGCUGUCAGCAGGGACUCAUGCCCAGCUGCAGCACCACUAGGGCAAUGCUGUGCCAUGUCUUAGAAAAUUAAUCCCAGUGUCUUCUUUCUCAGCGCUGGAAUUGCAUACAUGCUAAUACAGCCUUGCAGGAAGCUGUCUGGACCAGGCUCUGCCUGAAUUAAAGAUUUCUCUUUUUAAGUGUAUGUAGAGUGGCAUCUGCAUUCCUUAGGGACUUCAGUGCUUAUGAACCUUGUACACUACAGAAAGGACUGCAUUGUCCUUACAUCGUGCCUGAGGCUCUGGCAUUGUUUUAGGAUCAGAGUGAGGGAAGAAGGAGAGAGAUCUCCUCUUUAGCUUUCUAAUAAUCAAAGCAAACAUAUACAAAUGUUGCGUUUUCUCAUCAUAGGGGAAUUUAAGCCUUUAAACAGAGAGCUUUUGUUGUUGUUGUGUGCAGAGUUUCUCUUCAGUAAUUUCUAUAGUUACUUAGGAGUGUGGAUGUAUCUGUAACUGAUGCUGUUCUGAUGUAUUCUGUUGUAGGAUAUUUUUGCUUAAUCUAAAUGGAAAAAAAAAGAAAAAAGAAAAAAGAAAAAAAGAAGAAUUUGCUCACAGACAGGAUGUUCACUCCAACCGAUUAGUUUAGAAGUAUUUAGAGAAAAGAACUUUGAAACUAAGUAUAGUCAUCUGUUUGUGUGUGGAUGACGUUCUUAUGCAAGGUCUCAGAAGUUUAUUUUUCAUUUAUAGAUUUUUAUCUAUUUGCAUCAUUUGCGUCUCCCACAAAGAAAUAAAAGGGAAAAAAAACCCAACAAAAGCCAGUUUCAUCUGAAAACUUGAAGUGUCUCCUCCAAAGCCUGGUUAUUUUGGAUUAUUUGAGAAAAUAAAAUAGAAGUAUAUUCACUGAUAGAAGAAUGCAAGCUGCUCUUACAGUCUACUUAGUAUCUUAUAUUACUUUUCAAAAUGCUUACUACUGAAAAAUGGAUUGACCCUUGGCCAUCUCUCUUCUGUCCUUGCAGGGUGUUCACCUCCUACUCAAAUAAAGGGAGUGUAGAUACUGGGUAGUUAAACGAUGUCUGUUCAGUUUUUUUUCUCUGAUCAGGGAGACAAAUCAAUAUGUCCUAUUCAAACAAAUGUAGUUGUAGAUAAAGGUGAAUGUGUAAAUGAUAAAAAUCUAAAAGCAAUUCAACUUCAGCUAAUAUAAAAAUUCCACUUUAGUAUGCUACUUGUAGAUACGCAAAAGAGUCAGGAUGAUCAGGUCCUCUGUAAAAGGAAGCUGUGAUGACUGAUGAAAGAGAAUUCAGUUUGCAUAACCACUCGUUACUGGCACUGUCUAGUAGUUGACAGAUUUCAGUAGAAGAUGUCCCUGAUAAAUUCUGUAAUUUUGAUCAAAUGCAUUUCAAAAUAAAAAUAAAUUUGAGAUUUUAAAAAUUUCCAGUACUUAUUGCACUUUCUUUCAAAUCCAGUACAAGAGGCCCUGUAAGCUUGUUAAAAACAUGUAGAUAUAACUAUGCUUAAUAACACAACUACUGGCAUUAUCCCUUCUCUCAGCACUUUUGGCUGUCAUUCUUUUCUGUAGUUUAAAAGCAGCAUUAUGGAGGGACAGGGAAGACUAAGCCAAGUGUUGCUCAUCAUUUGCGUGUGGGUACAAAGUACCUUAGGUUCUGCUGGAUUCUCUUAGAUUCCCCCAGCAUUCUUAUCAAUGACAUACACAUUGGGACCCUCAACAACUUUGCUGAUGACACCAAGCAGAGUGGUGCAGUUGACACGAUAGAAGGAAAGAAUGCCAUCCAGAGGGACCUAGGCAUGCUCAAAAAGGGGGUACAGGAGAGUCUAAUGAGGUUUAACAAGGUCAAAUGCAAGGUGUUGGACUUAGGUUAAGGCAAUCCCAGCUAUGAGUGCAAGAUGGGAGAAGAUCUCAGUGAGAGCAGCCCUGCAAAGAACUUGUGGGUCUUGAUGGACAUGAGUGUAUGAGCCUAUGAUUCUCUUGGAGAUUCGCAUCCUUAGCGUAUGCACUGCUCAGCAACAAACAAAGCAUUGUUGUGUUAUCAACAUUAUUCUCAAUCUAAAUCCAAAAAGCAUAACCAUGCCAGAUACUAGUAAGAAAAUUAACUCCAUCCUAGCCAAAAGCAGGACACCGUUCAAAGCCAUAGGAAAAAAUCUGCAGUGAGGGAGGCUCAUUUUGGUGAUGGGUAAUGACUUGGAGGUGUCCACUGGAGAUGUUAAAGGCCAGGUUGGAUGGGACUCUGAGCAACCUGGUUUAGUACUAGAUAUGUUUAGAUAUAUUUAGUACUAGUUGGCAGCCCUGCCUGCAGCAGGGGGGUUGGAGCUUGAUGAUCUUUGAGGUCCCUCCCAGCUCAAGUCAUUCUGUGAUUCUGUGAUUCUAUGACUUGAGAGUUUGCUGAUUAAGAUCAGCCCUGCAGAGGGAAAAAGAUGUGAAUUUCUUGAACUGGUAGAAUUUUGUUGUGAGUGGCCAUGGAAAGGUCUUUAUCCUUGUUAGUUGAAGGACAGAAAAAGAUUCCAUAUUUUAAAUGUGGAUCAUGUGAGGCUGAUACCUUCUAUCAGACUCUCCACGAAACAGCUGCACGGCACUAUGGUUGUUGCUGUAAGCAACAGCCAGUAGUGAUGUAGUUAGCAGGAAUGGCUAAUGAACCAGUAGUAGCAGACAACUUGGGCACCACGAACAGCACUUUAGUGAUUGAAUUGUGCUGAACUGUACCACUCUGACUGAGCAGAUAUUGGAGUUUAUUGGAGUUGUCAAAACCAAACAUUCAUCAAAGGUAACAAGGUUACCCCCCUUCUAGCUGAAAUAUGCAGAGUCUAAUUCUUCAUCACUCUGGUCCACCAGGAUGGGAAAUAUCUUUCUAGCUACUAAGUGUGGAAGAAGGCAGGCUAGGUCAGGUCUUUUGCCAGUCUGCUCUGAAGUAUGCUGUUAUUUUUUUCAGUUUUUUCCAAGUUAAUUUUUUCCCAGUUGGUUUUCUUGCAAACAGAAAGCUAUUCAAUAUUCUUAAAUGCCUAUAAAAUACAAUUUGGUUUAUCAGAUGCUCUUAUGUUCCCCGAAUACCUAGCUGCUAAUCCUUAGAAAACUUGAAAGGUUUUCUGAUUUUUAUUCCUCUGUUAAAAAUUAGUUGAAGAUGAUCAUACGAUUUAAAAAGUGUCAGGCAAGGACAAACGGAUGGACUGGUAGAGUGGGAGACUGCCUUAUAUGUUUAGGAAACGCUUAUUCAUGCUCACUGUGACCUGUGACAACUAUGCCUUCAGCCUGCAUAUUGGUCUAUGAAAUAGAAUAACAAAAAAAAAAUCUUUAUUUUUAUCAGAUAUUUUAUAUCAAAUUAUUAUCUUUCAAGUUAUAUUUCUAUAAAAGCAGAAUGGAUUCAUAAGACUUACUAAUGUAGACAAAUGUAGACAUUUCACUAAGGCCUAUUAUGAUAUACAAAAGCACAUACAAAAAGAAACUAUGGUCAUUGAUUGGCUCAGAUGAAUCACUGGGAAUACAGUGUAAGGAUCAAUAGCAUUUGCCUGAAGAUUAAUCUCCCUGUUAAGUUUAAGUAUUGUUUGAUUCACAGCACGCCAACUCUCUAGGCAAAUUCUUUUAACUUUGAGCUUUGGUAGUGAAAGAUGUUAUAAAUGCAGUGAGUUAAUUUGCCAUCCCCAAUCCUUGUCAUGUGAUCUUACAGCUCUGGGGGCUCACGUAUCCAUUGGGUAAAGUGACAAGGCUCUGUUAUGUGCACUGAACUGAAACUAUGUGAAUAAAGCACAGCCUUUAAUGUUUUGGAGUACUGUGUUAUGUACUUUGACAAGUUUAGUUGAAUCUUAAUUAUUUAUAUAGCUCCAGAAUGUAAAGUGAUUAAUUUCUGCAAAAAAAGUAAUUGCCUUUGCUGCAUGAGAGCAAGUGCUGUUAGUAAGACUGUGACAAAUUAAGACCUGUCACCAACAGGCUGGCAAUGGCUGCUUGUUUCCACUGGGGGGUAUCUUUGUUUCUGUACCGAUUUUAUAUAUUUUAGCAUAGAAAAAUCCUUUUUUAUCCGUAUGCGACAUUAUAAUUAUUCACUUAAUAGUCAUCAUGCUACAAUCACUUCCUUGUGUGUAUUAAUUAAGAUGACUGGGUGAAGAAAGUGCAUUUCUUUUAGACUGCUCUGUGCUGUUAGGGCCCUGCUGCUGAUCAGUUCUAUGGCAUCAUCAAUGGGAGUCAGGGUGAACAGAGCGAGUGUUCCUCCUGUAGCAGUUUAACAUAGAUUUUCCAGGCUUUCAGCAUAUCUCCUAAGCAUGAAAAUAGGAACUAAACUGGCCAAGGACAUGCUCCACACUGUGAAACAGCAGAUCCUUACUGCGUUUGAUAACCCUAAUGUGACAGAAAUAUUCCUCUGGUAGCUUUGUGCUAGAUUGAUGAGAAGCAGUUAUUUGCAAUGUUAAAUCUUGGGCUGAUCUGUUGCUCAUAGUGGUCAGAUGUCCAGAAUCUAUUUUUGGACUCUGGCUGCUGAGACGUGAUUCAGAAGAGACUGCUUAUUGUGAGGAAAUUAUGAAGCCUUGGUUUUUUUGUGACAUAGGCAAUUCUGAGACAGACUUGCUACUUCAUUUCAGAAUUUGCCUUCUGAAGAUAGAUAAUACGUAUAAGUUUUUAAAUGAUUAAUCCUGAAAUCCUCAUGUUCACAUUAUCACUUAGGUCAUUGGAGAUGGUGGUGUAUUAUUGCUCUGGAGAGAUAGAGUUGAGAAGAGUCUGAGUUUUUACUUUUGAAAGUCCAGUCCCCCUUACCAGCCAAAGUCAUUCUUCAGAAACUGAUCUUUAUUCUUUCAUUCUAUCAAGUGGGAUUUCAUUUAUUUAUUUAUUUAUUUAUUUUAAAAAGGAAUAUUUUCAAGAGUGAAUCAAGCUGAUACUCAGUUCUCCAUUAACUGACUGUAAAUUUUUGGUUUUGUUUUAAAUACAAAGAUACUUACUAACAUGUACUAAACCACUACAUCUAAUGGGAUUUCCUCUUCUGCCGAAUGUCAGUGCAGAAAUGGUUAGGUCAGCCAGGGACACCAGAUUUCAUGAAAGAAUCAUUGUUAAAGCUCCAUGUGAAAUCUGACUAAAUUUUUUUGUACAUUUUAUAGUAGGUCUGACAGUUCUAGUCAUAUAACAAAUAAUUGAAUGUGUCUUGAUAUUUCUUCCUAACAUUUCGUUAUUCUUCAUGCACAUUUAGACACAUUUGGAGAACAGGAUUGGGAAAAAAAAACACCACAGAUAUUUUAUAUUGAUUAUGACACAUGUAUUGAACUGGAUUCCUCCUGGUGCCUCUGGGACUUCAGUAAUAGUAUAGAUUAAAUGUUUUUGUAACUACUGUCGUGUUUGCUGCAUUUUUUUGCAAAACACAUUUUUGCAUUGCAUUUUUUGGCCAGCUGUUGAGGUAAAGCAGGCAAUGCCUUUUGUCUAAAGGUAGUGGUGUCCAGUGGAUAGGAACUAAGGUGCUCCCCAAGAGAGGGUCCUCUCCAGUUUCUGGAUACUUCAUGGUUACAAAAGUUGCCUCCAAAAGUGUUGGUUAAUAGACGAUUGGUAAAACUGAGGUUUGCAAUUACUUUUUUGCUGUUGAUUUCUAAAACAUCUCUAAGAGGUUUCCCACUUAGGAAAAGAUACUUGAGGAAUCUAAAAAGAAAUAAGCUUAGUUUGUUUAUUAUGUGCAGCCAUUCAGGCUUCUGACCGAAAAUUUCUUAAGCACUAUUACACGUAAUGAUAAUUUGGAGACUUGCUCUGUAACCACAUAGUGUUAAAUGGUUCCUGGGCUGUUGCUGAUGACACUGGCUGGUCAAUGCACAGCAUCUGCUUGGGCUGCCGAGCCCUGUUUCUUCUCUGUCUCUGCAUGCAGGCACCUUAUUCUCACUCAGUAAAAAUCUGCUGCAACAUAGCUUCCAUGGCUUCCAUAGAGAGUCAUUUACUUGCUUCACAUUGCAGAAUAAGUGAAAAUAUUAAUAUGCAUUUGCAGAGUAAAAUGUAAUGUGUUCAUUAGCAUUAGAAAAUUAUGAAUGUUGAUUUCUUUCCAUUGGAUAUCAGGGCACCAAAGGGCUCCCCUGGUGGGACGGGUAGUGAUGGGUCCUGCCUGCCUGUCCUCACCAGGAGCAAGGCACUGGGGGCACCAGGGCAGCCCCAGCCUCCGGCAAUGGGCACGUCCCUGCCCCUGCAGCUGGGCUGAGUCCAGGCCAUGACUUGGGCUUGAGCCUGGGCCCAUCUGAGUGGGGGGCUAUGGCCAGGUACAGAUGGGUCAUGGCCUACAACAUGGCAGAAGCUGUAGCUCAGGUGGACGCUGCAGGACAGAGGCUAAGCUUGAAUGUGGCCGCGUGGGCAGAGGUCAACCUCACCACUGUCCCCAGACACAGGAUGAAGGAGACAACAUACAGCUGCUCUGGCCCUGAGCCCAGGGAGCCAACCCUCCAGGAAAGGCUCUAACAAAGGAGUAUCCCCCUGACACAGAUUUAUCAAAGUUAAAUUAUCUGAGAUUGGCUGGUCACUGGAUAUGUUUCAUGAGAAUUAAUUGAUAGAAUAGAGAUUUAUAUGCAAUGCUUAUUUUUAAUCUUUUACAGAUGCCUAUUAAUCUAUCCUCUUUACACUUCCACACUCUCAGCAGAAACAGUUCUUACAAAUCUGUAUGCUGGUUUUCUGUUUUAUCUAAGAAGAAAACAGAGAUUUGUUGUCUGCCUGCUUUGUUCACAGGGAUAAAACUGCUGGAAUCCCACGAGCCUGCAUCAGAAGGCAUCUGGGAGUUAGACAAGCCAUGCAGUUAAGCAGAUUAACGAUGAUUCCUUUUCUUCAGUCUGGCAGCAGGUGUCUGUAACUGAUUCUGAACUUUGCAAGAUGAUACUUUAUCAAAUAAAUGUGCUGUCAAAGUUAAUUAGUUACUUUUUGUUUUACUAUUCAUCCCCACAAUGACAACCUGCCAACAGUGAAAAGUGCUCAGAAAAAAACAUCACUUACUGAAUAUCAUGUACGCAUGAAAACAGACUUCUGGAAAAUAAAUAUGAAGGUUAUAUUGGAUUUUGCUUCCCUGGUUGUGGCCAACAAUAUAAAUGAUUAAAAGCUUUUGGAAAUUUUGACCAUUCUGGCACAUUUCAGGGGUCUGUCAUCUGUCUUCAUUUGAAGAUGUCUCUCACCCUUGCAGUGAUGCCAUGCACGCAAAGAAACCUAUGAACUGUGCUUGAACUGUGAUUACCACAAGACUGAGCAUUGCUGCCAUAUAUAUCACUUGUGAUGGUAUGGACAAAAACUGUUCUUCAAAACAAUUGGUGAAACAUGCCUUAGAUCUUAUCUCACAAUCUGCGAAUAAGGAUUCUACCUACUUGAUACCAUCUCUAACAAAAACAACACGGAGACCAUUUAUUUCAUAACUGCCAAACUGGUUCAAGACAAACACCUGCAUAUUCACAACAUUUUGAGCUAUCCUCCUACAGACAAGGAUCCUGACAUCGUAAGAAAUGAAGCAAAUAAAGUGUAUAGGAAAAUUCUCACAAUAGAAGCAGGGUGUUUUUUUCACUUUCUACCCUAUACUGACUGGGGACAGGGUUCACUGAAAAAGUCAACAGCAGUGUAAAAGACAGCAAACGCGUGACAGCAAUUGCAAAAACAAUUGUAUUGCUUACAAAGCAUUGUAAGGAUUACAGUGUAGGUUAUUUAUAUCUCAGUAAAUUAAAAUAAAAACAUAGUAGUUCCAUUUUUUUCUGUGCAAGUUAUGGUACUUGGGCAGGAUAAUUAGUUCAUUUUCUUUAGAUAUCUGAAAAGUAGCUUAUAUUAAUUAUCAUCAACAACUGAAUUGAUGAAUUGUGUUGUGCUUUUAUGAGCAGGUAAAAUCAGUUGUGCCAUUUUAUAGUUGUGAAAUCUGGAUGUCAUGUAGACUGCCAACAAAGACUCUGUAAUAUUGCAAACCCAAUAAACCUUUGACAAAAUAA